GCAGUGCGCCACUCCACCGCGGCGGGGCAACCCGGCGAGGAAAGUCCGGGCAACGCAGGGCACCCUGCUUCCUAACGGGAAGGACCGGCCAAUCGGGCCGGGACAGCCAGUGCCACAGAAAAUAACCGCCCGCAAGGGUAAGGGUGAAAAGGUGCGGUAAGAGCGCACCAGCGGGCGGGUAACCGACCCGGCUGGGUAAACCUCAGGGGUUGAAAGACCAAAUAAGCGGACACGCGCGCUGGCUUCGGCCGGCGGGCAACGGGCGGCCCGCCCGGGUCCGCGGGUAGGUCGAUGGAGCCUUUCCGCGAGGACUGGCCUAGAUAAAUGGUGGAGACGGGGCCCCCGGGCCCCGGACAGAACCCGGCUUACCGGCGCAUUGCCUAG
rfam:Hymenobacter sp. PAMC26628, complete genome.